rnacentral:lncRNA from 1 species
AUCAAUAGAUCAUCCAUCAUAUUUCAAAUUUUAUAUGUCAUAAUCUCUUGUGAUCCUUUUAUACAUAAUCCCAAUGUUUAAUCAAAAUUUAUAAAUAUUUCUCCCACUACAAUCAUCAAAGAUCUACACUAUAAUGUCCCUGGUGUCUAUCCACUUACACCCAUUCUAUAUCUGAUUCUAUGUUUCAUAAUUUAUCCACUUAUGCUCUGAUACCAUUUUAAUUGUCACGCCUCCAACCCGAAAUUGUGAAUCGAGGGUCAUGACAACCGCCGCAUACUCAUAGAAAA